AUUGAACGCUGGCGGCAGGCCUAACACAUGCAAGUCGAGCGAGAGGCGGACGGGUGAGUAAUGUAUGGGGACUGCCCGAUAGAGGGGGAUAACCACUGGAAACGGUGGCUAAUACCGCAUACUGGCGGAUAAUCGAUAUGGGAUUAGCGAGUAGGUAAGGUAAUGGCUUACCUAGGCGACGAUCCCUAGCUGGUUUGAGAGGAUGAUCAGCCACACUGGGAGUGAUACACGGCCCAGACUCCUAGGGGGGCAGCAGUGGGGAAUAUUGCACAAUGGGCGAAAGCCUGAUGCAGCCAUGCCGCGUGGAUGAAGAAGGCCCUAGGGUUGUAAAGUACUUUCAGUCGGGAGGCGUUACCGACAGAAGAAGCACCGGCUAACUCCGUGCCAGCAGCCGCGGUAAUAC
rnacentral:rRNA from 1 species